rnacentral:misc_RNA from 1 species
UUUCCGUAGGUGAACCUGCGGAAGGAUCAUUAACGUAUCUCUAACGUCGAAGCUGUUCUCCACUCCGGACCGAGAGGCCGUGCAGCGGGCGAGCGCGAGCCGCUCAACCUUUGCAGACCCCACUGUGCAGUUUCGUCGGCAAAGGGCCCUCAGGGCCCCGACCCGGACCACAAACACUACUUUACAAAACGAUCUGUGACCGCAAUGCCUCCUAAACUUUAACAACUUUUCACAACGGAUCUGUUGGACCUAGCAUCGAGGAAGAACGCAGCAGAUACG